CCCUUAGAUGUUCUGGGCCGCACGCGCGCUACACUGAUUCAUGCAACAAGUUUUGUCCUUGGCUGAUAGGCCUGGGUAAUCUUUGAACGUGAAUCGUGAUGGGGAUAGAUGAUUGCAAUUAUUCAUCUUCAACGAGGAAUUCCUAGUAAACGCAAGUCAUCAGCUUGCAUUGAUUACGUCCCUGCCCUUUGUACACACCGCCCGUCGCACCUACCGAUUGAAUGGUCCGGUGAAAUCUUCGGAUCUGAGAGAUGUCUGAUUAAUUUCGGAUGCCUUUUGGAAAAGUUGUUUAAACCUUACCAUUUAGAGGAAGGUGAAGUCGUAACA
rnacentral:rRNA from 1 species